GAAUGUUCCCAGCAUGCCUCGAUUUGUAGUUCCCGGGGACUUCCUGCCACCGCAGCAGCGGGCGCCCUGGAGAUUUUCUUUUUGUCUUUUACGCCGUUGACAUCCUGCUGGGGGCCGAUUAAAGAACUUGAUUGCUCACCAGGAAUUCAGGUUCCUUAAGAUCUUGGCGCUUCAUCUUUAAAACCAUACAGAGCUGAUUGUUUCCAGAUCCCGACCCGGUGACAUUCCUCCCUCAUUGUUGACCUUGUCCCAAACAUCUUUUCAAGAAAAGCAAUUAAAUUGAGAUUGAAAAUAAAUUACGUAAAUUAAAUAUUAGACGUGAAAA